GCAACACCCAGUGAGGUCCUAAUUCCAGAAAGACCAUCCACAGCAAGGUCAGGUGUACAAGUAAUGCGCCAUUGUACUCAAGACAAGCCAGCUGCAGAGGACACGUGCCCCCAGUGGAUUCAGCCUGAUGAUUCUGCGUCCCCACACCACCCUCGUCUAAGCGCUCCCGCCAGUCACCAGUGCCCUUGUCCUACGACACACGGAUACUCACGGCUAUGGUCCCGCACGAAGUGGAUCAGAUCACAUUGCUGUAAAGAAAAAAAGAGAAAGAGAACAGAAAUGUGAGCACAGCAGCCCCCGAGAGGCCAUGCUUCUUUGCCAGUGGACUGGUUGGGUUUUCGUUUGUGAAUAAGGAGAUACAUACAGAAUAUGUUGGCUUCCCCGCCAUGCCUUUCAUGCCCUAGGAAAAUAAAACCAGAGCAAGUUA